rnacentral:lncRNA from 1 species
UAUGAGAAGUGUAUGGCCACAGAAGUUGCUGCUGAUGCUCUGGGUAAACACUGGAAGGGUUACGCAGUCUGAAUCAGUGGUGGGAACAAGGUUUCCUCAUGAAGCAGGAUGUCUUGACCCAUGGCCAUAUCUGCCUGCUGCUGGGUAAGGGGCAUUCCUGUUAUAGACCAGGGAGAACUGGAGAAAGAAAACAAUAAUCUGUUCAGGCGUGCAUUGUGAAUGCCAAUCUGAGUGUUCUCAAAUUGGUUAUUGUUAAAAAAGGAGAGAAGGAUAUUCCUGAGCUGAUCCUAUGGUGUCUCAUCUCCUGGGGUCCAAGAUCUAGAAGAAUGAGCAAACUUUUCAAUCUCUCUCAAGAAGAUGAUGUCUGCCACUAUGUCGUAAGCAAGCACUUAAACAAAGAAGGUAAGAAACCUAGGACCAAAGCACCCAAGAUUCAGCAUCUUGUUCCUCCACGUGUCCUGCAGCACAAAUGCCAGCAUAUUACUCUGAAGAAACAGUAUAUUAAGAAAAAUAAGGAAGAGGCUCCAGAAUAUGCUAAACUUUUGGCCAAGAGAAUGAAGGAGGCUAAAGAAAAGCACCAGGAACAGUUGCCAAGAGACACAGACCGUCCUCACUGCAAGCCUGUACUUCUCAGUCUGAAUCCAGUCAAAAAUAA